rnacentral:rRNA from 1 species
AGAUUUUACACUGGGCGCAAGCCCGAUCCAGCCACGCCGCGUGAGAGAUGAAGGCCUUAGGGUUGUAAAGCUCUUCCACCGGUGAAGAUAAUGACGGUAACCGGAGAAGAAGCUCCGGCUACCUUAGUACCAGCAGCCGCGGUAAUACGUAGGGGGCUAGCGUUGUUCGGAAUUACUGGGCGUAAAGCGCACGUAGGCGGAUUAUUAAGUCAGGGGUGAAAUCCCGCAGCUCAACUGCGGAACUGCCUUUGAUACUGGUAAUCUAGAGACCGAGAGAGGUAAGUGGAACUCCUAGUGUAGAGGUGGAAUUCGUAGAUAUUAGGAAGAACACCAGUGGCGAAGGCGGCUUACUGGCUCGGAACUGACGCUGAGGUGCGAAAGCGUGGGGAGCAAAC